rnacentral:rRNA from 1 species
UACGGGGGGAGCAAGCGUUGUUCGGAUUUACUGGGCGUAAAGGGCGCGUAGGCGGCCACCGCAAGUCGACUGUGAAAUCUCCGGGCUUAACUCGGAAAGGUCAGCCGAUACUGCGGGGCUAGAGUGCAGAAGGGGCAACUGGAAUUCUCGGUGUAGCGGUGAAAUGCGUAGAUAUCGUAAGGAAGACCAGUGGCGAAGGCGGGUCUCUGGACAGUUCCUGACGCUGAGGCACGAAGGUCAGGGGAGCAAACGGG